GGGGGUUACAUUGACUCAUGCAUAAUAUAUUACUGCUUGACUUCGUUAAUAUAUCGUUAAAAGAUGAAAUACAUCAAUGCUUAUAACUGCGGGGUUUUUUGCAAGCGUGAAAAAGACUAUGGCACAUGGGGUAAUAGUCAUAAUAAGAUACACAAAUGGUGUACCAUACAGUACAGAAGCCUCCACAAUCUUGUAAAAAUGAAGCCAAGCAUGCGAAAGUAGAAACAGA